rnacentral:lncRNA from 1 species
GAGGUAGUGUGUGAUUUACAAACAGUAGUUGCUGCUAGUAAGCUAUUAUGGUAUUUUCCCCCUUCUAAAAUAUGUUUUUCUGAUUAUAAAAGCAACCCAAUCUAGAAACUAAAGAACACCAAACAAAGAAAAAGAAAAACACUCUUAAUUCUACCUUUGGUGUAGAUUCUUCUAAAUCUGAUUUUCUUUCCCUGCAUGUAUAGUUUGUUGUAUUUUCCCUGGCAAACUAGACUAACACCAAGCAUAUUUUU